rnacentral:pre_miRNA from 1 species
AGACGCUUCCAGACUCGGUUGGGAACCUGACGGGCCUCCAAAGUCUUACCCUGAACAGUUGCUUGGCUCUGCAGACGCUUCCAGACUCUGUUGGGAACCUGACGGGCCUCCAAAGUCUUGUCAUGAUCCUUUGC